rnacentral:rRNA from 1 species
AUUGAACGCUAGCGGGAUGCUUUACACAUGCAAGUCGAACGAGUGGCGGACGGGUGAGUAAUAUAUCGGAACGCGCCCCGCAGCGGGGGAUAACUACCCGAAAGCGUGGCUAAUACCGCCUAGUAUUGGAGCGGCCGAUAUCGGAUUAGCUAGUUGGGGGGGGAAAGGCUCCCCAAGGCAACGAUCCGUCGCUGGUUUGACAGGACGACCAGCCACACUGGGACGUAGACACGGCCCAGAAUCCUACGGGAGGCAGCAGUGGGGAAUUGUGGAGAAUGGGGGAAACCCUGAUCCAGCCAUCCCGCGUGUAUGAGAAGGCCUUCGGGUUGUAAAGUACUUUUGGCAGAGAAGCGGUAUCUGCAGAAUGAGCACCGGCUCACUACGUGCCAGCAGCCGCGGUAAUUC